rnacentral:tRNA from 1 species
GCGAGGGUAGCAAAGUCUGGUCAUGCGCAGGACUUAAGAAGACACUUAAGGUUGUACCUUAAGAUAUCCUGUCACUUAGUGUGUCCGAGGGUUCGAAUCCCUCCCCUCGCA